GACAGAGGUGCCGAGCGUUAGGCGGAAUCACUGGGCUUAAAGCGCGUGUAGGCGGGCCGUUAAGUGCCCCGUGAAAUCCCCCGGCUCAACCGGGGAACGGCGGGGCAUACUGGCGGCCUUGAGCCACCUAGGGGUCAUCGGAACAGGCGGUGGAGCGGUGAAAUGCGUAGAUAUCGCCUGGAACGCCGACGGUGAAAACAGAUGACUGGGGGUGUGCUGACGCUGAGACGCGAAAGCCAGGGGAGCGAACGGG
rnacentral:rRNA from 1 species